rnacentral:lncRNA from 1 species
AUGGCAACUCUUCUCAAUGGACAGAGGGAUGGCAGCUCGGGACAGAGGGGCGGAAGCUCUGGACAGAGGGGCGGCAGCUCCUGGCUGACUGGCGACCCCUGGCUGACUGGCAGAUCUGGAAGAGUCUGGUCGACUGGCAGAUCUGGAAGAGUCUGGUCGACUGGCAGAUCUGGAAGAGUCUGGUCGACUGGCAGAUCUGGAAGAGUCUGGUCGACUGGCAGAUCUGGAAGAGUCUGGUCGACUGGCAGAUCUGGAAGCUCCAUGCUGACUGGCUGCUCCAUGCUGACUGGCUGCUCCAUGCUGACUGGCUGCUCCAUGCUGACCGGCUGCUCCAUGCUGACUGGCUGCUCUGGCUGCUCCAUGCUGACUGGCUGCUCCAUGCUGACUGGCUGCUCCAUGCUGACUGGCUGCUCUGGCGGCUCCUUGCAGACUGGCUGCUCUGGCGGCUCCUUGCAGACUGGCAGCUCUGGCGGCUCCUUGCAGACUGGCAGCUCUGGCGGCUCCUUGCAGACUGGCAGCUCUGGCGGCUCCUUGCAGACUGGCAGCUCUGGUGGCUCCUUGCAGACUGGCAGCUCUGGCAGCUCCUUGCAGACUGGCAGCUCUGGCGGCUCCUUGCAGACUGGCGGCAUCCUGCAGACUGGCAGCUCUAUGCAGACUGGCAGCUCCUUGCAGACUGGCAGCUCCUUGAAGACUGGCAGCUCCUUGCAGACUGGCAGCUCCUUGCAGACUGGCAGCUCUGGCAGCUCUAUGCAGACUGGCAGCUCCUUGCAGACUGGCAGCUCCUUGCAGACUGGCAGCUCCUUGCAGACUGGCAGUUCUGAACAGGCGGGAGACUCCGGCAGCGCUGGAGAGGAGGAAGGCUCCGGCAGCGCUGGACAUGCGAGGCGCACUGUAGGCCUGAUGCGUGGUGCUGGCACUGGUGGUACUGGGCCGAGAACACGCACAGGAAGCCUGGUGCGGGGAGCUGCUACCGGAGGGCUGGGGUGUGGAGGUGGUACUGGAUAG